rnacentral:rRNA from 1 species
CCUACGGGAGGCUGCAGUGGGGGAUAUUGCACAAUGGGGGAAACCCUGAUGCAGCGACGCCGCGUGAGUGAAGAAGGAUUUCGGGAUGUAAAGCUCUAUCAGCAGGGAAGAAAAUGACAGUACCUGACCAAGAAGCCACGGCGAACGACGUGCCAGCAGCCGCGGUAAUACGUAGGGGGCAAGCGUUAUCCGGAUUGACUGGGUGUAAAGGGAGCGUAGACGGUUAUGUACGUCUGGAGGGAACGCCCGGGGCCCAACCCCGGGACUGCUUUUGAAACUGUGGAACUGGAGUACAGGAGGGGCAGGCGGACUUCCUGGUGUAGCGGUGCAAUGCGUAGAUAUCAGGCGGAACCCCGGCGGCGAAGGCGGCCUGCUGGACUGCACCUGACGUUGAGGCUCGAACGCGUGGGGAGCAAACAGGAUUAGAUACCCUUGUAGUC